rnacentral:rRNA from 1 species
GAUGAACGCUGGCGGCGUGCCUAAUACAUGCAAGUCGAGCGAACAGACGAGGAGCUUGCUCCUCUGACGUUAGCGGCGGACGGGUGAGUAACACGUGGAUAACCUACCUAUAAGACUGGGAUAACUUCGGGAAACCGGAGCUAAUACCGGAUAAUAUAUUGAACCGCAUGGUUCAAUAGUGAAAGACGGUUUUGCUGUCACUUAUAGAUGGAUCCGCGCCGCUUUAGAUAGUUGGUAGGGUAACGGCUUACCAAGGCGACGAUGCGUAGCCGAACUGAGAGGGUGAUCGGCCACAUUGGAGCGGGGACGGGGUCCAGGCUCCUGCGGGAGGCAGCAGAAGGGAAUCUUCCGCAGUGGGCGGAAGCUUGACGGAGCAGCGGCGCGUGAGUGAUAAAGGUCUUGGGUUCGUAAAACUCUGUUAUUAGGGAUGAACAAAUGUGUAAGUAACUGUGCACGUCUUGACGGUACCUAGUCAGAAAGCCACGGCUAACUACGUG